GAUGAACGCUGGCGGCGUGCCUAAUACAUGCAAGUCGAGCGAACAGACGAGGAGCUUGCUCCUCUGACGUUAGCGGCGGACGGGUGAGUAACACGUGGAUAACCUACCUAUAAGACUGGGAUAACUUCGGGAAACCGGAGCUAAUACCGGAUAAUAUAUUGAACCGCAUGGUUCAAUAGUGAAAGACGGUUUUGCUGUCACUGAUAGAUGGAUCCGCGCCGCAUUAGCUAGUUGGGAAGGUAACGGCUUACCAAGGCAACGAUGCGUAGCCGACCUGAGAGGGUGAUCGGACACACUGGAACUGAGACACGUUCCAGACUCCUACGGGAGGCAGCAGUAGGGAAUCUUCCGCAAUGGGCGAAAGACUGACGGAGCAACGCCGCGUGAGUGAUGAAGGUCUUCGGAUCGUAAAACUCUGUUAUUAGGGAAGAACAAAUGUGUAAGUAACUAUGCACGUCUUGACGGUACCUAAUCAGAAAGCCACGGCUAACUACGUG
rnacentral:rRNA from 1 species